GAAAAAAAUAGCUCUUUUAGAAUUUGUCUAGCAUUUUUCCAGUUUUCACUGGAAA
rnacentral:snRNA from 1 species